rnacentral:tmRNA from 1 species
GGGGAUGAAAGGUUUAGACAAAUAAGAUUCUUUGACAAUGUGCGUGAUAGAGCUGGAAAAACUCUAAAAAAGUUUCCGAAACACAAAUGCAAAAAAUAUAGUUGCAAAAGCUAAGUCAGUUGUUUCUCCAUAUUUUGGAGUCAAUGAUUUUGCUUUCGCUUACGUUAGAGCUUAAUUUCAAGACUCUCGCCUAAGCGACGGUUCCCUCCUCAAGUCUGUUCAGGAAAGGAAUUGUAAUAACUUCGGACUUAGAAAAUAAAAAUUGUUUCGUUUUAUUUUUGAAAUCAAGAAACUAGAUGUUUGUUUAUUUUGUUAAUUUUAUAGAAUAAACAUUGAACUCCACCUAGGUGGAUAAAAUUAACUAAAUCACGUAGAAGCAUUAUCAAAACUUGUUUGCAUGGGGCUUCAAUGCCCCCUUCUCCACCA